rnacentral:lncRNA from 1 species
GAAAUAAUCACCUCAUUGGGUGGCCCAACCUCAUUCAAUGAGGCCUCAUUCGUGAAAUAAAUAGGUAAAUGCGAGCUAAACAGAGGAGCCGGAUGGCUUGAAUGGAGUAGCUGGCAAGCCCAUGGGAAGCACGUAGCCGAGUCGCCUAUUUUGACAAAUGACAACCCUACUCUCACGUACAAAUGUAUGCAUGCAGCCACAACUUUCUAUAAAAUCCAUCUUCUUGGCCAACUCUAUUCACCAUCUAAAAAAUAUCUCCUAUAUCCCCCUUUCAACCCCAAAGCAAAUAUUCUCUCUUUUUGAGACUUAUGAUAGAGAAAAUAAUAUAUACAUACAAAUCAGAGUUGAAGUCAUUUCAAGGCUCAUCAUCAACUGUUUCAAAAUCAUGUUUGCUCAAGGUUCAUGCUCACCGGCUAAACAGGUCAGUCGUCCCUCUCUCUCUUAACCUGGUCCAGGGGGCCGCCAUGGCAGUACUCAGUAACAACACAUUGUCAUGUAACAGGAUGUCGAGAUUGUCGAAGGAAGUCAUAAAAAAGGCCAAGGUAGGCAAGCUGAAGAUGGAGAUUAUGGAAAUGGAGAACUUGAAGCUGUAUAUGAAGAACAAAAGAAUUUUUGAAGAUAACCAAAGGCUCCAAAAGGAAGCUCUUUUUCUUCAACAGGAGAACAAAGAUUUGCUAUCACAAAUACAAAAAAUAUAUAAUUCUCAUAACAGCAGCAAAAUAAAUUAGCAACAACAUCAAGAUUGUUGCAAUAUCUCCUCCCAAAAAUAGAAUAGAGUUGCAUACGUAUUAUAAGAUUUGACAGUGUUUUGCAUUAGUGUUCAACUUACAAGAAUUCUUCUUCGAGAGGACUGGAUAUGAAAUGUCGUACUGUCAACUUACAACAACUCUUCUUCUUUACCCGGGUUCAGGACUGGCUAUAGAAAACCCCAAGUGGAGUUCUUGGGUGUAUAUUACAGUAGUAAUUUCCACUUUAAGCUUAAAAUAUUGAUAUGUAAUAUAAAAGAAGCUUUAAUUCUCAGUUACUAGUGCAUUCAGUUGCGUGUUGUCAUAUUUGGUCAAUCCACCUGGGCCAAUGGCCCACUCAGACCGAAUCACUUGGCACUCCAGUCGAGGUGGCAUAUAUUGUCGAGGUGGGCAAUGGCUGAAGCCCUUCAAGCCGAAAUCCACUAGCCGAGGCGCCUUUUUACCGAGGCCUGUGAACGCACCCAAGGUCCACAUGUCGAGGCCCAUGAACCGAAGCCAUGAUGCUGAAACUAGUUGAAGAUAGCUGAAGCCCUCAAGCGGAAGUAUUGUGUGAAAUGGCCGAAGCCUCGAAGCUGAUGUAGGAGCCUCCGAACCACAAGGGAGUGUCCUCCAUGUUCACUUCUCCCAAGAAAUCGUCUGCAUAAAGAUCUUAUUCGAAUGAUUGAUGGAACGUUUGUCAUAAGCAUAAAGGUCAAGUCUUUUCACUAGUAUGGGGGCUCUGCACAAGCAAUAAAUGCGCUGCAAGCUAGCAAGUCAAACCUCAUACCUGAUAAGAUGUUUAAAUCAAAGGGAUGAGGCAACGUGCCACCUCAUCCAAGGGCUCUCAUUUCACAUGUACUACUAUAAAUACUUCCCUUGUGUAACAUCAAAAGGCUAAUGCAAGAAUCAAUACAAAGAAUUAUACUUUAC